UGCUGACGAGUCCCAAACAGGACGAAACAGUUGUCCA
rnacentral:hammerhead_ribozyme from 1 species